rnacentral:rRNA from 1 species
UGGUCAAGUUAUUAAGGGUGCAGGGCGGAUGCCUUGGCACUAGGAGCCGAUGAAGGACGUGAUAAGCUGCGAUAAGCUUCGGGGAGUUGCACGUAAACUUUGAUCCGAAGAUUUCCGAAUGAGGAAACUCACUUAGAGUAAUGUCUAAGUAUCAUUAAGUGAAUACAUAGCUUAAUGAGGGGAACUCAGGGAACUGAAACAUCUAAGUACCUGAAGGAAGAGAAAGAAAUUCGAUUCCGUAAGUAGCGGCGAGCGAACGCGGAUUAGCCCAAACCAAUAAAGUUUUCUUUAUUGGGGUUGCGGACAUAUCAUAACGAAGAGGUAUCGUAAUUGAAGAGGUUUGGAAAGACCCACCACAGAAGGUAAUAGUCCUGUAUGUUAAACGAGAAGACUUUAGAUAUGAUCCAGAGUACCACGGGACACGUGAAACCCUGUGGGAAGCAGGAGGGACCACCCUCCAAGGCUAAAUACUACCUAGUGACCGAUAGCGUAUAGUACCGUGAGGGAAAGGGGAAAAGAACCCGGGUAGGGGAGUGAAAUAGAACCUGAAGCCCUGCACUUACAAGC